CAGUGAUGUCUGUUAAUGCCACUGCUACAGCAAUCAGCCGUGACAAAUUCUCCACAGACAGGGGAAGCUGCAGAUGCUGUGAAACUUCUGGGAACUUGUCAACCCUAACUGUCGACAAGUGCAAAGCAUUUCGAAACGACACGAGGACGUUGGGGGUGAAGCCGCUGACUUUCAGCUGGAAGGGUUUGGAAGGUGGUCACGUCCAUACAAGGGACAUGUCCUGACCCCUCAGUCCUUGACUUGGACAGACUUCCUGCAGGACCUCACCACAAACUGUUCGGAUUAUCAACCCUCAAGAAAAUCUACAUCUGUCGGCUGCUUUAAUUGCAGCUGGUGACUAAAGCAAAGCCAACUAGAAGAAAUUGAACAUGUCCUCAGCCAGGCUUGAUCCAAUCAGAUCGAACCUUUUGUGGACAGUCGAGCACAAAUCAGACAUCAUUGUUUAAGCUCUAUGGACGGGCACGUUUUCAGGAUUGGUGCUGAUAAAAAUAUUGAGUGUGUCAUGGGAUACAUAAGCAGAUGUUUCUUGGAACUGUCCAUUUCUAAAAGUAUUUACCUUGAAGACGAAGAGGAUGGCAAACAUGGAUUAGAGUUAAAAUGAUGCUGAGAGUCAAUGCUGCUGUAACACGACAAAUUCCCCAUUACAAAGGGACAAAGCUUAUCUCAACCUCAUCUUAUCCACCACAGCAAAGUUAGAAAACCAGACACACGAGGUGUUCUCAAACUACUUAAUGUGUUCUGACAGACAACCAAAGCAAACGCUGACACAGUCUGUUUGCAUUUGUUGCAUUGGAUAUCACAGUUACACCAUGAAGUUAAUUCUUUUGGUGAUACCAACGCAGGAAGGAAUUAAAGGGACAACCUACUGCUUGGUAAUAUAAAUAAAAAUGGGGAUGGUUAGACUUCCGGUUUAAACAUCAGUGUGGAUAACCUGCCAAGAAAAUAUGUGCAACAUAUGGCCGGAGACCUCACUAUUUACCCUGAUGUUAAAUAACCAGACCACCGCAAUUUUUCACCCAAGACGGUUUUUCUACCCCCUGUAAUGCACACACGAGAAAAAAAUACACUGACAAGUUGAUCUUACUUAAAAAAAAGGAUCAGGGUUAUUGCCUUGAAAAAUGUAAGUAAGUACAACAUAGUCCUAACACGUAAUUACUUCAUAUCUGCUAUUUAAUUUCACCAACUUUAGAAAACUUAUUUAGCGGCAUUUACUUUGAUUUGUCAAGUGGUUCCGACUGAAAAUGGCAAGUGAAAUUGACUUGUUCUUUUAGCAGUUUAAGUAAAGAUUAUGUUUGUCCGACUUAACUAAAUAGUUGUGUUGACUCAGUAGAAUAUAGGAAACUGAAUGUCUGGGAUAAAUAAAUUAAACAGACGUAAGAGUGAUAAAUUCCGACGAUUAUUUCUUAACAAUAAGACUUUCUAUCCUUUAAAAUGAAUCUUUAAAUAAACAUCAACUGGAUUGUAACAAACAUGUCAAGUACAGUAAUAUGUGAGUAUGCAUAGGUAUUACCUUUUACACCAUAAUACCUCACUGAUAUUUGGAAAAGAAAAAUUUCAACUUUUCAGACAGAAUACAAACAAAUAAAACCUAAAUCACACAAACUUUAGUCUGAUCUCCAAAUACUCUCAGGAGCGGGUUGAUGCUUACCCUCACUCGGAGGCUGGUUCAAAGUCAUUCCAGCACUAAGCAGGAAGUCAUUGACUUAAGUAAAGGUAGAUGAGGCAGUUUGGGCAAAGUGGGAACAACAAAAGGUAAAUUAUAGCACUUCAUCACAGAAAAAGAAAACUCCUGGUGCCCACUGAACAACAUAAAUCAGUGGAGGGGGGGUGCAAGGGAUGGUUCAGCCUCUGAAGUCAAACACCAUUCAUCAACAUCUCGGAGGGAUAAAUUACGGCUGUCAGCAUUGGCAAGAUUCAGAAAAACAGGGGAUGCAUUGUGGGUUCAGUUGCAGGGGGACGUUCACUCACACGCAACUGAGUGAUUACUGAGCACUUUUACUUUGAAGGAUUACGGCUGCUUUGACUUAAACACGGAAGAUAACGAGCUCCUGACCAACACAACGAGGAAGUAACUCAGCUUGACGGAAGUUGGUGUAAUGCUGUGACCUUUUCCGUGUUUUCUGCCGCCACCAGUCGACAUCGCCACUGGUCACAUAACAAUACGGUUGUCAGGGAAACUGUGACAGCCGAGAGAGCGUGGAGGAUACCAGAGACGUCUCUGCCACAAUUGAUUAUGGCAUUGAUGGAAACGGGUUGACGGGCUCGACCGCAUGCUGGCACACGCAGGCCUGAGUGGAGGGGCUCACAGAAGCUCGGCUCUAUCACACGUCAGUCUCUCUGAUCAACAGGGCGACAGAUAACCUUUCUCCAGCAGAUGAGAGUGAUGUGAGAUGAAAACUGGGAACGUGCCUGUGACUGAUGCUGCGGCCAAGUCUGCGUCUCUGGAAACUGGCAAGUCCGGUCCUGCUAUGUGUAUGAUGUAGUUAUUGUGUAGUUUUGUUUUUGUUUUCCAGAAGAUGACAGUGAUCUCUUUCAUGUACUUCAUACUUUUACUCCAUAACCUUUG